AAAGGGAGACCUAAUUCAGGUAGGAGACGAAAAAAAAGUAGUCCCAACCAAGAAUCAAUCCCAAAAGGUCGGAACGAGGUAUGAGGCUUUCAAACUAGGUUCUGGGUUCAUAAAAGACCUGAAUCAGGAACAAGGGCUAUUAGCUCAGGUGGUUAGAGCGCACCCCUGAUAAGGGUGAGGUCCCUGGUUCGAGUCCAGGAUGGCCCACCUGCACAGGUGGCAAAAACAAGAGAAGCGAGGAAUCAGCACCUUAUCUUAUAUACAUAUAUAAGAGAGAAUGCUGGCUCUGAGUACAGAGUCCAGAGGAACCUUGAAAACUGCAUAGAGCUAGGUGAAAAAGCCAAAAAAGAAGACCGCAAG
rnacentral:tRNA from 1 species